AGCUUUGCGCAGUGGCAGUAUCGUAGCCAAUGAGGUUUAUCCGAGGCGCGAUUAUUGCUAAUUGAAACAAAAGGGUAGCAAUACUA
ensembl:snRNA U4 U4 spliceosomal RNA